UUAAAAGACAUUCUUCCGAGAUUAUUUUUGAUAGCAGAGGACAAAAAUGUAAGUGGUGGUUGAUUGUGGUUCUUGGUCUAAUGGGAAUUGGUCCUGGUAUGUUCAGUGGAGGAGAAAUCUGUUUGAUUGGGAGAUAGAGUUAGUAACAAAGUUAUACACUUUCAUUCAACAUUAUUCUUGUAAAAGUGGAGUUAUUGAUAGAUGGACGUGAAAUCUCGACAAAUCUGGUUGCUAUGUGGUUAAAACUGCUUAUCUUCCUCAACUCACUCUUGUCCAUCAGAUUAUCAGACACAAGUUAAAUUCUUGAUUUGAGUUGAAUUAGUGGUGUGCCUUGUAAGGUCUGUUGCUUCACCUGGAAAGCUCUUAGAGCUAGAGUUGCUAUAGAAUCAAAGCUUCUCAAAAGAAACUUUUUGAAUGUAGAUAAUGAAAACUUGGACCAUCUAUCUUUUUAUCUCUUGUCAUCUUCAUCUUGUGGCCGAUGUUUGGAGAGGCUUUUAUUCGUGACUCUAGGGAAAUCUAUCUAGAGAAUAUUGUGGUUUGUUGUUAUUUGGUUUGUCCAAUAUAUAAGGAAUGAAGUCAUUUUUAGGGGGCAAAAUCUUAGCUAUAUUCCGUUGUUGAAUUUGAUUCAAGUUAGAUACCAAUUAUGACUAUCUAAUAUGUUCUUAUAAUUAAAUUCUAUUUCUUUUGCACAAUGGUGUAUUGCUUACUUUUCUUGUAUCAAACUGUAUAUUAUAUAUGUAAUCUAUAAUCGGUUGGCACCCGUAGAUUGUAAGUGUAACUUUUGAUUUACAACUUGCUAUUAAAAUUGUUU